rnacentral:rRNA from 1 species
UCUUUUAAUUGAAGGCUUGUAUGAAUGGUUGGACGAGACAUUAACUGUUUCAAGUUAAAAUAUUAGAAUUUUAUUUUUUAGUCAAAAAGCUAAAAUUUUAUUAAAAGACGAGAAGACCCUAUAGAUCUUUAUAAAUUAUAAAUUAAAUUUAUAUAGAAAAUUUAAAGUUUAAUUUAAAAAUUUAUUUUAUUGGGGUGAUAAUAAGAUUUAAAUAACUCUUAUAUUUUUAUACAUAAAUUAAUGAUUAAUUGAUCCAUUAUUAGUGAUUAUUAGAUUAAGUUACCUUAGGGAUAACAGCGUAAUUUUUUUAGAGAGUUCAUAUCGAUAAAAAAGAUUGC